rnacentral:rRNA from 1 species
UAGCGUAUAUUAAAGUUGUUGCGGUUAAAAAGCUCGUAGUUGGAUUUCUGUGGUAGGCAGCCGGUCCACACUAUGUGUGAGUAUCUGGUUCGGCUACUGCAUCCUCCUGAGGAACGUUGGUGCGCUUCACUGCGUGGCACGGUAUUCAGGACUUUUACUUUGAGGAAAUUAGAGUGUUCACGGCAGGCGUUUGCCCUGAAUAUAUUAGCAUGGAAUAAUGAUAUAGGAUCCACGUCCUAUUUUGUUGGUUUCUAGGACGAGGAUAAUGAUUAAUAGGGAUAAUUGGGGGCAUUCGUAUUAGGAUGUC